CAGAGGGAAAAGUGCCAGUUUGGGGACAGAAAGCCUGGACUCCAACUCUGACAACACAUCUUAUUGGCUAUGUGCCCUGAGCUCAGAUUCUCUCCAAUGGGAAGUAAUACCACCACCUCCCUCAAACCAAGCCCCAGGCAGUCGUGGUUGUAACUGCUUUUUAAAAUCUUUUUUUAAAUAAAAAGAUUUUUUGAAGAGGGUCUCACUCUGUCACCCAGGUUUGAGUACAGUGGGGUGAUCACAGUUCACUGCAGCCUUGACCUCCCAGGCUCAGGUGAUCCUCCUACCUUAGCCUCCUGAGUAGCUGGGACUACAGGCCUGUGCCACCAUACCCAGCUAAUUAAAAAUUUUUUUUAAAUUAGGGGUCUCGCUAUGUUGCCCAGGCUGGUCUCAAACUCUUGGGCUCAAGAGAUCCUCCCACCUCAGCCUCUCAAAGUGCUGGGAUCACAGGUGUGAACCAUCACACUCAGCCCCCGUUUUUGAUUGUUGAUUUCUUCCCACAACAUGCACCAUUCCCGGUCCUACCGUUUGAAUGGUACAGAGCCUCUGCCUGCUGGAUAAAUGCCACACCCUCAC
rnacentral:lncRNA from 1 species